GUCAAAUCAUCAUGCCCCUUAUGACCUGGGCUACACACGUGCUACAAUGGAUGGUACAAAGGGCUGCGAUCCCGUGAGGGUGAGCGAAUCCCAAAAAGCCGGUCUCAGUUCGGAUUGGAGUCUGCAACUCGACUCCAUGAAGGCGGAGUCGCUAGUAAUCGCAGAUCAGCAACGCUGCGGUGAAUACGUUCCCGGGCCUU
rnacentral:rRNA from 1 species